GGCUGGAGUGCAAUGGUGUGAUCUCGGUUCACUGCAACCCCCUGCCUCCCGGGUUCAAGCGAUUCUCCUGCCCCAGCCUCCUGAGUAGCUGGGAUUAGAGGCAUGUGCCACCAUGCCCAGCUAAUUUUGUGUUUUUAGUAGAGACGGGGUUUUUCCUUGUAGGUCAGGCUGGCCCUGAACUCCUGACCUCAGGUGAUCCACCUGCCUCAGCCUCCCCAAGUGUUGGGAUUACAGGCAUGAGCCACUGCACCUGGCCAUUUUUUUUUAAAGAUUGCGUCUUGCUCUGUCACCCUCCUCACCACAUUAUAGCUCUGGGGGCCAAGCUGCAUCACAAUGGAAAAUCAUGGAAUCACAGGAAGAAUCCACUCAGCUUUGCAAGAUGCUGCCCAAGGGGUUGCUUGGAGUAACCAAAUUAACAUUUUUCAUUCUGCCCAGAGCAAAAUACAUGUGACAAAACAUAGACACGUGCCACUUUGCUCAGCACCCAGUAUCAAACUGCUUAUCCAAAUGUUCCAUUGGUCCCUGUUCAUCUUGCCCUGCAGUUCUCCUUGACUGAUUCAGCCCUUUGUGGUUUGCAGUCCUGUUUCUCUACAGCUUGGACCUCUUCAGUCUUUCCAUCAUAGGUUUAACUCUCUGUUGAAUGCUUCUUUGUAGCUAUCCAAAUUUACCUUAAGCUCAAAAAAUUCGAAGUGAAAGCCACAUCCUCUUCUCUUCCUUAUGUGUAUGGCAUUACUACCAUGCAGCCAGUGACCCAAAAUGGGAUUUCUUCUGGGCUUUUCUUGCUUAGAUUCAGGCUCAUCUGGUGUCAAGCCUUGUUGCUUUUGUUUCCUUGUUCUUUUAUUUUUAUUUUUAUUUUUUGAGACAGAGUUUCGCUCUUGUUGCCCAGGCUAGAGCGCAGUGGUGUGAUCUCAGCUCACUGCAGCCUCCACCUCCUGGGUUCAAGCAAUUCUCCUGCCUCAGCUCCUGAGUAGCUGGUAUUACAGGCAUGUGCCACCACGCCCGGCUAAUUUUGUAUUUUUAGUAGAGAUGGGGUUUCUCUGUUUUGAUCAGGGUGUCUCGAACUCCCGACCUCAGGUGAUCCACUCGCCUCGGCCUCCCAAAGUGCUGGGAUUACAGGCGUGAGCCACCGUGCCUGGCCUGCUUGUUGUUUUCAUCUCAUCCUGAUUUCCAAAUACAGGAGAGAAGCUGAAUUGGUGUUCACUAACAAGCACAGGAGCUUUGUUAUAUUUACAGUGUCAUUCUUGGCAAAACCUGAAGGGUGUGUUCGUGGGGUGAUGAGGUUCAGUCACCUGUGAUCUGUGCAUCUGGCCAGCACUGUGGUGACAUCCUUAGGAAUCCAUGGGGAGAGAGAAAGCAUUCAGGAGUUAGUGGGUCACGUUUGACAAGGGCCAAUAAAGAAAUAUGCAAAGACAAAAAA